rnacentral:rRNA from 1 species
GUCACCGGUCAAAGGGUCGUGGACCCACCCGUACCCAUUCCGAACACGGAAGUGAAACACGAUUCCGUUCCGGGAGGUAGUGCGGUCUUCGGACGCGCGAAGCCCGGAAAGCUGGUGGCC